UAGGGAAUCUUCGGCAAUGGACGAAAGUCUGACCGAGCAACGCCGCGUGAGUGAAGAAGGUUUUCGGAUCGUAAAACUCUGUUGUUAGAGAAGAACAAGGACGUUAGUAACUGAACGUCCCCUGACGGUAUCUAACCAGAAAGCCACGGCUAACUACGUGCCAGCAGCCGCGGUAAUACGUAGGUGGCAAGCGUUGUCCGGAUUUAUUGGGCGUAAAGCGAGCGCAGGCGGUUUCUUAAGUCUGAUGUGAAAGCCCCCGGCCCAACCGGGGAGGGUCAUUGGAGACUGGGAGACUUGAGUGCAGAAGAGGAGAGUGGAAUUCCAUGUGUAGCGGUGAAAUGCGUAGAUAUAUGGAGGAACACCAGUGGCGAAGGCGGCUCUCUGGUCUGUAACUGACGCUGAGGCCCGAAAGCGUGGGGAGCAAACAGG
rnacentral:rRNA from 1 species